CAGGCAGUCUGUGGAGCAGUCAGCCUGCAAUGCAGUCUGUGGACAGGAUGGCCCCUUUGGUCUGAGCAUUGGUAGAGGGUUGCUUAGCAAGCACUCUACCAGUGACCUGCAUUUCAGCUGCGGCAGUCUGAAGGUGAAAGUUUCCUUUGACUACUCCUGAACACUUGGCCCCAGAUGGCAUGCUGUUUCCGGAAGGAGGAACCCUGCUGGGAAGUGGAGCAGCACUGCAGAGGGAUUUUAUAACCUGGGCCUCACUUCAUAGCUGCUCUUGGCUUCCUGAAUGAAGACACGUGUCCAGCUACUGCAUGCUCCUGCCUCCAGGUGUUACCCAUGCUUGACUGUACCCCUUUAAGCCCUCGACUCCAGGUGUUUCUCCUCCCUGACUGUAACCCCUGGUUCACAAGACAAGUAACUUAACACCUCAGUUCAAAGAAUUAAAGACUUAACUUUAAA